CGGCGGUGGCAGCAGAGGCGGUGAGCCCGGCGCUGGCAGUGUUGGUGGCACUUGCGUGGGGGCGGUGGCACCAGCACUGGCGGUGGCGGUGGCACCAGCACGGGCAGCACCUGUACA
rnacentral:precursor_RNA from 8 species